GGCAGGCCUAACACAUGCAAGUCGAACGAUGAAGCCCAGCUUGCUGGGGUGGAUUAGUGGCGAACGGGUGAGUAACACGUGAGUAACCUGCCCUCCACUUCGGGAUAACGCCUGGAAACGGGUGCUAAUACCGGAUAUGACGCGCUAUCGCAUGGUGGUGUGUGAAAGACUGUGUUGGUGGGGGAUGGGCUCGCGGCCUAUCAGCUUGUUGGUGGGGUGAUGGCCUACCAAGGCGGUGACGGGUAGCCGGCCUGAGAGGGUGACCGGCCACACUGGGACUGAGACACGGCCCAGACUCCUACGGGAGGCAGCAGUGGGGAAUAUUGCACAAUGGGCGGAAGCCUGAUGCAGCGACGCCGCGUGAGGGAUGACGGCCUUCGGGUUGUAAACCUCUUUCGGUAGGAAGAAGCUUC
rnacentral:rRNA from 1 species